UGCAAGUCGAGCGGUAACAGAAAGAAAGCUUGCUUUCUUUGCUGACGAGCGGCGGACGGGUGAGUAAUGCCUGGGAAAUUGCCUUGAUGUGGGGGAUAACCAUUGGAAACGAUGGCUAAUACCGCAUAAUGCCUUCGGGCCAAAGAGGGGGACCUUCGGGCCUCUCGCGUCAAGAUAUGCCCAGGUGAGAUUAGCUUGUUGGUGAGGUAAGAGCUCACCAAGGCGACGAUCUCUAGCUGGUCUGAGAGGAUGAUCAGCCACAUUGGGACUGAGACACGGCCCAAACUCCUACGGGAGGCAGCAGUGGGGAAUAUUGCACAAUGGGCGCAAGCCUGAUGCAGCCAUGCCGCGUGUAUGAAGAAGGCCUUCGGGUUGUAAAGUACUUUCAGCAGUGAGGAAGGGGUGAUGUUUAAUAGACAYCAUUCUUGACGUUAGCUGCAGAAGAAGCACCGGCUAACUCCGUGCCAGCAGCCGCGGUAAUACGGAGGGUGCGAGCGUUAAUCGGAAUUACUGGGCGUAAAGCGCAUGCAGGUGGUCUGUUAAGUCAGAUGUGAAAGCCCGAGGCUUAACCUCGGAAUAGCAUUUGAAACUGGCAGGCUAGAGUACUGUAGAGGGGGGUAGAAUUUCAGGUGUAGCGGUGAAAUGCGUAGAGAUCUGAAGGAAUACCAGUGGCGAAGGCGGCCCCCUGGACAGAUACUGACACUCAGAUGCGAAAGCGUGGGGAGCAAACAGGAUUAGAUACCCUGGUAGUCCACGCCGUAAACGAUGUCUACUUGGAGGUUGUGGCCUUGAGCCGUGGCUUUCGGAGCUAACGCGUUAAGUAGACCGCCUGGGGAGUACGGUCGCAAGAUUAAAACUCAAAUGAAUUGACGGGGGCCCGCACAAGCGGUGGAGCAUGUGGUUUAAUUCGAUGCAACGCGAAGAACCUUACCUACUCUUGACAUCCAGAGAACUUAGCAGAGAUGCUUUGGUGCCUUCGGGAACUCUGAGACAGGUGCUGCAUGGCUGUCGUCAGCUCGUGUUGUGAAAUGUUGGGUUAAGUCCCGCAACGAGCGCAACCCUUAUCCUUGAUUGCCAGCACUUCCGGUGGGAACUUCA
rnacentral:rRNA from 1 species